UGAGAGUAGUACAUCGAUGGAUGACCCCUUGGGAAGUCCACGUGUUGUACCAAUUGGUGCGAUCAUACCUGCACUAAUGCACCGGAUCCCGUCAG
rnacentral:rRNA from 1 species